UGCUUCCUUGGUCCCUUAAGCGAUUUAGAUUAUAGAUCUGGACCCUUGGAGGUCCAGAGUGUCCCUUUGCCUAAGCUAGUCGUGAAUCCAUGGGGGGGUUUUGGAUUGGAAUCCUUAUGCCUAAGGUCAAAUCACCAUUUAUGAGUCAUGGGGUGUGUUAUGAACACCAAGAUAAGGACUUUACGUGAUGAAUAAGCUUAGGAAGGCCAGAUCUAUGAAUUGUUGGAACGGAUCUGACCUCAGAAGCAAGUUUAAGUUGAUGCAUGGCAUGGACUCGCCGAGUCCGAUGAACAGACUCGGCGAGUAGCAUGAAGAUUGCCCUAAACCACUCAGUGAGUGGUCCUGCCGAGUCAUAGGUUGACUCAGUGAGUCAGGGCGAGUUAGAGAGGGUUGACAGGUGGACUGAGUCGAACUGGAACUCGCCGAGUUGUUCUUGAGACUCGGCGAGUUCAGUCGGGGUGGCCCCGCGAUUCUUACCAGGUGGAACUCGUCGAGUUAGGGGAAUACUUGACGUGUCAAAAGGGAAUCCUAGAGAGUUGGUGAAAACGUCUAGACUCGCCGAGUCGGCCUAGUGCACUCGCCGAGUCCGGUCAAAGUUAACCAUUGACCGUUGACCGUUGACCAGAGUUCACUAGUGUUGACUUGAUAGGGGUAGUCAACCCUAGUGGUAAAAGUGUUAACUAGAGACAUAUGAUUGUUAUAAGGGGAUUGUAGCUCGGAGGAUCGAGCGGGGGAUUCCAGGAUUUGCGAGCUAUCGAGAUUCACGAGGUGAGUCUUCUCACUAUACUAUACCCGAAAGGGUUUUGACUGUGUGACCGGAAGGUCGGAUAUGGUAUGACACAUAUGUGCUGUGCGUGAUAAGUUAAUUGUUAUAUGUGCCAUGUAUGAUAUGCUUGAUAUGGGCCGGAAGACAUUGUGUUAUGGGCCAGAAGGCGAAUAUGCUAUGGGCCGGAAGGCGUUGUAAUGUGGAUUGUAAGGUUGGCGUGGGUAGGACCGGAAGGUUUACCCAGUCGGGACGGAAGUCCCCUGAGACACAUGGACCGGAAGGUCAGGGCCUGGAAAGGCGUAUGUGCGUAGGUUGUAUUUUGGGGAACUCACUAAGCAUUUAUGCUUACAGUUGUUGUGAUAUGUGUUUCAGGUACCAGCGAGGACCGUGGGAAGGCGCCGGCGUGAUCUGUACACACUGAUGGAGGAUUUAUGAUCUUGGGAUUUAUAUGAUUUGUAUUAUGACAUGAUACAUUGGAUCUUUAUGCCUUAUUUUGGAUGGAAAUGCAUUUUUAAGAAAUGAAAAUUUUGUUUUAAAAUUUCCGUUGUUACAAGUUGGUAUCAGAGCCUUGGUUUGAGGGAUUCGGGUACACCUUUGGGCGUAACUGAACUCAAACCGAGGAUUUGAGGAAAAAUUUUCAAAAACAAAGGCAUAAAAUUUUUAUAAAGGAUUUUGUGGUAAACAAGAAUGAAGCAGUGUGUACGAUCAGCCAGCGCCCGAACGGUAAAAAUCCCCAAAAUACCCUCACUAUAUUGUGUUAUGAGAUAUGAUAUGAUAUGAUAUGAUAUGAUAUGAUAUGAUAUGAUAUGAUAUGCAUGCUAGAAGACUAGGUAUCCAUGAUAGGACUAGAGUGGCCUGAUUUGUGAUGCCUUAAUCUAGGGAAAAUCUGCUGCUAUGAGAUGCUUUGAGAGCGAGCAGGUAGUUAUUGCAUGGCAAGAGUAGAGUACUCAUGAUCCGGGGUUUGGGGAGGAGGACUUGGGAUGAAUGCUGAUGCGGUGUAGUCGGUAGUAUUGGGCCCGUACUACCGAAGACACCGGGUCAGUGGGCAACCCAAGUAAGAAUCCCUGGGUAUCGGAGACUGAGUAGGGUUGCGUUAUCGAGUGCGAUUAUGCUCGAUAGAGUCUCUGAUAUUUCUAUGUUGUAUUUCAGAGGCAUCAUGGUUGGACCACGCCACAGACCUAGUACGAGCAGUGUGAGUGACGAGGAGAUUCGUCAGAUGAUUCACGAGGAGGUGGCUGCAGCGAUCCGGGCUGAGAUUCCGGAGAUGUUUGGGUCUAUUAAGACCACUCUGAUGGAGACAUUUGAUGAGCGGUACGCCGCAUUGACUGAGGCGGCUGUCGCGGCAGCUACCACAGCUGUGGCCGCUUCCAGGCCUUAGGGAGGUGACUCGUUGCUGUUCCAGGAGUUUAGCAACACGAAGCCACCUGAGUUUGAUGGGAUGCAGGAUCCGAUCGCUGCGAUGAGGUGGAUUGCUGAUAUCGAGGGAUGCUUCUAUACUUGUUCAUGUCCGGAGCAUCUGAGGGUACGGUUCGCCUUGAACCAGCUCCGCCUAGGAGCAAAGGAUUGGUGGAAGUUCGUGACGACGAACUUCACUCUGGAAGAGGUUUCAGCUGUGACAUGGGAGAGGUUUACCACUAUGUUCAGAGACGAGUAAGUUCCCCCGGUGGAGAGGGAACGGUUGGUUCAGGAGUUCUUGACCCUCAAGCAGGGUAAUGAUUCUGUCACGGUGAUCACGCGGAAGUUUCAAGAGAGGGCGAUGUUCUACCAAGAGCAGGUGUCCACGGAGUAGGCUCGGAUAAGCCGGUAUUUGGGAGUGUUGAGGAGGGAUAUCCGAGAGUUCGUAUCGAACUCGUCAUAUCAGACUUUUGCUGAGCUUCAGGCGAAUGCCAGGAAGCGCGAGAUCGAGUUGGAGACCCAGGCUAGGGAGGAGGCCGAGUCUCAACGGGUGGAUCGGCGGCCGGCUCAGUCUCAACCGGCUGCCAAGCAGACUAAGUCCGCCGAUUCGAGGACGGGAGGCCAGAAGGGUCGCACUUGCAGAAAGUGCGACAAGGGUCACGAGGGGACAUGUCGAUCAAGUGCUUGCUACAAGUGUGGCAAGGAGGGGCACAUUGCUAGGGAUUGCCCCAAGGGGUUUAUGGUUUGCUUUCAUUGCAACCAGACCCGCCAUCGGAAGGCCGAGUGUCCUCAGCUUCGNGCCGAGUCUCAACGGGUGGAUCGGCGGCCGGCUCAGUCUCAACCGGCUGCCAAGCAGACUAAGUCCGCCGAUUCGAGGACGGGAGGCCAGAAGGGUCGCACUUGCAGAAAGUGCGACAAGGGUCACGAGGGGACAUGUCGAUCAAGUGCUUGCUACAAGUGUGGCAAGGAGGGGCACAUUGCUAGGGAUUGCCCCAAGGGGUUUAUGGUUUGCUUUCAUUGCAACCAGACCCGCCAUCGGAAGGCCGAGUGUCCUCAGCUUCGCCAGGGAUCUGCACCUGCUGCUAGGGUUGCUGAGACUCGACCAGUGAAGACCGAGGCCCCGAGGGCUCGUGGGAGAGCUUUCCAGUUGACCGCGGAGGAGGUCCGCGNCUGAUGUUGUGGCUGGUAUGUAUUCUUUCAUGUAAUUAUUAUUCUUUUAUGGGAUGUUAUGCUUAUUUCAUGUUUAUGCGUAGGUACUUUUCUUAUGAAUUCUAUACCUGCUUUAGUAUUAUUUGACUCGGGUGCGAGUUGGUCUUUUGUAUCUCUGGCCUUUAGUCGACAUAUUAGUGUUAGUCGUGAGGCGUUGAGUCGGCCUUUGAGAGUUUCCAUAGCUGACGUGAGAGUGAUUUGUGCCACGGAGGUUCUCCGGGGAUGCGNGAGUUGAUUCAGUUUCUUGAUAUGUUUUGAUACAGUUGUGAUACAGUUUUCCUCACAGUAUUUUACUAUGGUUUGAGAUACAUAGUGUGUGGUUUUAUGAGAUGAUACUCAGAUUUAUGAUUUUUGGUUAUAUUAAAAAUGAAAUUUUUGGGUCGUAUUUUUGGGUCGUUUCAGUACACGAUCGGGAUCAGCUUUUUGUUCGGCCGCUAGGGCGAGGCAGUGUCUACAGCAGGGCUGUAAGGGUUUUGUGGCGUAUGUGAUGGAUACGCGGGUGGCUUCCGAGAGGCCAAGAUCAGUUGAGGAGGUUCCGGUGGUGCGUGAGUUUCCAGAUGUUUUUCCCGAGGAGUUACCGGGUGUGCCUCCUGUGAGGCAAGUGGAGUUCAAUAUCGACNGCGCCUAUCGCUAAGGUGCCUUAUCGUCUUGCACCUCCAGAGAUGCAAGAGUUAUCCUCGCAGCUUCAGGAGCUGCUAGGGAAGGGGUUUAUUCGGCCGAGCAGCUCGCCAUGGGGAGUGCCUAUCCUGUUCGUCAAGAAGAAGGAUGGUUCACACCGGAUGUGCAUUGAUUACCGGGAGUUGAACAAGCUGACGGUCAAGAACAGUUACCCAUUGCCGAGGAUCGACGAUUUGUUCGAUCAGUUGCAGGGAGCAUCUUGGUUCUCCAAGAUCGAUUUGAGGUCUGGAUAUCAUCAGGUGAGAGUACAGGAUGAGGAAGUCCAGAAGACAGCGUUCAGGAUGCGUUAUGGGCAUUAUGAGUUUGUGGUGAUGCCUUUUGGGCUCACCAAUGGCCCGACUGUGUUCAUGGAUCUCAUGAACCGGGUAUGUAGGCCGAUGUUGGAUCGGUUGGUGAUUGUAUUUAUCGAUGACAUUCUGAUAUAUUCGAGAUCUAGGGAGCAGCAUGAGGAGCACUUGAGGGAGGUCCUUGGGGUCCUGAGAUCGGAGAAGCUUUAUGCAAAGUUCUCCAAGUGUGAUUUCUGGUUGUUGGAGGUCCAGUUCUUAGGACAUCGUGUUAACCAGGAAGGGAUACUGGUCAAUCCGGCCAAGGUUGAGGCGGUGAUGAGUUGGGAAGUGCCGAAGUCACCCUAUGAUAUCAGGAGUUUCCUAGGGUUGGCAUGGUAUUAUCGGAGAUUUAUCAAGGAUUUCUCCAAGAUCGCAGUGCCACUCACCAGAUUGACCCGGAAGGGUGUUGCUUUUUCAUGGGGUCCCAAGCAGGAGGCCUCCUUCGAGACACUUCGCCAAAGGUUGUGCGAAGCCCCGGUAUUGGCUCUCCCGGAAGGGAUGGAGGACUUCAUGGUAUAUUGUGAUGCAUCGAUUUUGGGGCUGGGAGCGGUGCUGAUGCAGAGAGGGCAUGUGAUAGCAUAUGCAUCGAGGCAGCUGAAGCCUCAUGAGACGAGAUAUCCCACCCAUGAUCUUGAGUUGGGGGCAGUAGUGUUCGCCCUCAAGAUUUGGCGUCACUACUUGUAUGGGGUUCGGUGUACGAUUUACACGGACCAUAAGAGUUUGAGGUACUUGAUGGAUCAGCCCAACCUAAAUAUGCGACAGAGAAGGUGGUUGGAUGUGGUCAAGGAUUAUGAUUGUGAGAUCCUGUACCACCCAGGCAAGGCUAAUGUGGUAGCCGAUGCGUUGAGCCGCAGGGCGGAGAGCACUCCACUGCGGGAUGUAUGUUUGAGAUUGACCGUGAUGACUCCGGUAUUAGAUGCCAUUCGUGGGGCACAGGCCGAGGCUGUGCAACCUGAGAUGCAGAAGAGGGAAUGGGUUAUUGGUUUAGUAUCGGGAUUCGUUACAGAUGGUAGAGGGCUUAUGACUUUUCAGGGUAGGAUUUGGGUACUAUUUGUGGGCGGUACACGUACCAUUUUGAUGGAGGAAGCGCAUCGAUCGAAAUUCUCGAUUCAUCCCGGGGCUACGAAGAUGUAUUUGGAUUUGAGAAAAGAGUAUUGGUGGCCCUGUAUGAAGAGAGACGUCGCGUGGUUUGUGGAGAGGUGCCUAACCUGCCGUAGGGUUAAGGCCGAGCACCAGAGGCCGGAUGGCAAGUUGCAGCCAUUGGAGGUUCCCGAGUGGAAGUGGGAACAGAUCACUAUGGAUUUCAUCAUAAAGUUGCCGAGGACUGCCAGAGGAGUUGAUGCAAUUUGGGUGAUUGUGGACAGGUUGACGAAGAGCGCCCAGUUCCUUGCCAUCAGUGAGAGUUCUUCAGCAGAGAAAUUGGCGGAGGUGUAUGUGAGGGAAGUAGUAUCUCGGCACGGGGUGCCGAUCUCGAUUGUUUCAGACCGUGAUGUGCGUUUCACUUCCAUAUUCUGGAAGAAAUUUCAUGAGGAGUUGGGUACUAAACUGCAUUUUAGUACCGCAUAUCAUCCCCAGACAGACGGUCAGAGUGAGCGGAAGAUUCAGUCGCUUGAGGACAUGCUCCGAGCAUGUGUGUUGGAUUUCGGGGGUAGUUGGGAUGCGUAUUUACCCUUGGCCGAGUUUUCCUACAACAACAGCCAUCAUUCAAGUAUUGGUAUUCCACCCUUUGAGCUGUUGUAUGGGAGGAGGUGUCGGACCCCCAUUUGUUGGGGAGAGGUUGGGUAGAGAGUAAUGGGCAGUACAGAGAUCGUGCUUCAAACAUCAGAGCAGAUUCAGCAGGUCAGACAGAGAUUGUUGACCGCUCAGAGCCGACAUAAGAGUUAUGCAGACAUACGCCGAUCCGAGCUUGAGUUCCAGGUCGGCGACCUUGUUCUCCUGAAGGUCUCUCCUUGGAAGGGAGUGAUUCGAUUCAGGAAGAGGGGCAAGUUGGGACCCCGUUAUAUUGGUCCAUUCCGUGUGAUUGCGAGGGUAGGCCAGGUAGCCUAUCGUUUGGAUUUGCCAGCAGAGUUGGAGCAGAUCCACGACACUUUUCAUGUGUCGCAGCUGAGGAAUUGUAUAGCCGAUGAGUCGGCAGUGGUUCCAUUAGAAGAUAUUCAGGUGGAUGCGAGCCUGAAUUAUGCCGAGAGACCAGUGGCCAUCAGAGAUCGGAAAAUCAAGGUUCUGAGGAACAAGGAGGUACCCCUGGUGUUGGUUCAGUGGCAACAUCGGAAGGGAUCAGAGAUGACCUGGGAGCCGGAGCGUGAAAUGCGUGAGUAGCAUCCGGAGCUAUUUUCAUAGAGAGACUUCGAGGGCGAAGUCUAGUUCUAGUGGGGGAGAGUUGUAACAGCCCGGAUUUCCAGGUAUAUUUUAUGCUUAUGAUUUUGAUGUUUUGUGAGGGGACUCGGCAAGUUGGAGCUCUAGCUCGCCGAGUAGGAUCGCGGUUCUGGACGCGGGUUCGCGCCUGGACUCGGCGAGUCCAAGGUAUGGACUCGGCGAGACCGCGCUGUUUAAUGAAACCCUAAUUUCAAGGGUUUGGGACCUAUUUAAAGGGCCUUAAGGCUGUCAUUUGUGCUCACCAGUCCCUUGAGUGAAACCCUAGCGAGUGUGAGCGUUUGGAGCAAAGUAGGAAGCCAUUAUUGAUCUUGGAGGUGUCAUCUUGCAAGGGAAAGGAAGAAUUAGUUAAGGGAAAUCAAGAGGAGCCACUUCCUGAAGGUUUGAGGUCCAGAACAUCACAUUUGAGGUACUAUCUUCGAGCUAUUCUCUAUUAUGUUGAUGUUUAUUUUGAUUUAGGGCUUAUUGAGCCCUUUCGUCGCUAGAUCUAGUGCUUCCUUGGUCCCUUAAGCGAUUUAGAUUAUAGAUCUGGACCCUUGGAGGUCCAGAGUGUCCCUUUGCCCAAGCUUUUCGUGAAUCUAUGGGGGGUUUUGGAUUGGAAUCCUUAUGCCUAAGGUCAAAUCACCAUUUAUGAGUCAUGGGGUGUGUUAUGAACACCAAGAUAAGGACUUUACGUGAUGAAUAAGCUUAAGAAG
rnacentral:lncRNA from 1 species